rnacentral:piRNA from 1 species
CACAGGACCAGAUGGAACCUCUUUGGGUGCC